CGAACCUCUGGUGUUCCGGUUGUCACGCCAGUGGCAUUGCCGGGUAGCUAUGUUCGGAAGAGAUAACCGCUGAAAGCAUCUAAGCGGGAAACUUGCCUCAAGAUGAGAUCUCACUGGAGCCUUGAGCCCCCUGAAGGGCCGUCGAAGACUACGACGUUGAUAGGUUGGGUGUGUAAGCGCUGUGAGGCGUUGAGCUAACCAAUACUAAUUGCCCGUGAGGCUUGACCAUAUAACACCCAAACAAUU
rnacentral:rRNA from 1 species